UCCGGUUCUUCACCAGCAGUCUCCUUAGAGUCCCCAACUAAAUGAUGGCAACUAAGGAUAAGGGUUGCGCUCGUUACGGGACUUAACCCAACAUCUCACAACACGAGCUGACGACAGCCAUGCAGCACCUGUCUCAAAGUUCCUUUCGGCACUUUCGCAUCUCUGCAAAAUUCUUUGGAUGUCAAGGGUAGGUAAGGUUCUUCGCGUUGCAUCGAAUUAAACCACAUGCUCCACCGCUUGUGCGGGCCCCCGUCAAUUCCUUUGAGUUUUAAUCUUGCGACCGUACUCCCCAGGCGGAAGACUUAUCGCGUUAGCUUCGAUACUGAAAGGACUUAGCCUCCCAACAUCUAGUCUUCAUCGUUUACAGCGUGGACUAC
rnacentral:misc_RNA from 1 species